GGGUUCCUGACCCCUGCCAGGGUCCCAGGGCAGCCAGAGGGAAGUUCUGGAUUCCCACAGUGGUUGCACUCCUUCGAUCAUCAGCCAGAGGGGUUUGAGAGGAAUGCUGAGCAAGGACCCCAUGGCUGAGGUGUGAGCUCACCAGAGCUUGGGGAAUGGAAAAGGAGUGAUCCCACAGGUGGGACAUUGCAAAGAGGUCCCCUGGAGGUGAGGAGUGAGGAGAAUGGGAGCAGAAACUCCUCAUUAACCCUUUGUGCCCACUGCAGGGCCAAAGCACCAGGGCUUCUUUCCUCUUGUGGGACUCAGGAGGAUGAGCACAGUUAACCAAACUGUUCUGCUCCCUUCUGUGCUGGGCCUCCUUCUCUCCUCUCUGUGACUCUGGAACCUAAAUUUGUGUUGGGCUGUAAAGGGAGGGUGAAUCAGCCCAAGGGAAGUGUCUGAACCCUGGGUUUGUGUGGGGAGCGCCAGGAGAGGAGAAGGUGACAGUGCUGCUCCUCAGGGCUCUGCCCAUGGGAGGAACAGCUCAGAGAAGACACAUUUAUAAAUCAUUAAAUCAUAAAACGGUUUGGAUGGAAGGAGCUUUUAAAGACAACCAGUGCCACCCCCUGCCAUGGGCAGGGGCACCUUCCACAGCUGCUCCAAGCCCCCUCCAACCUGGCCUUGGACAUUCCAGAGAUGGGGCAGUUUUUACCACUCUGACCCUUUAUUUGCCCUUGGCAUUGCAAAUAUAACCCCAGUCUAGGGGGAGGUGUGCUGGAGAGGCACCAGUGAUGUAGCAAGAGACACACAGGGGCAAAAUUUCCCUGGGCUCAGCACUUGUAAAGUGUGAGAGUUCCCAAAGAUGUUCCCAAAAUGGACUGGCUGUGUUUCCGGAGGAGCUGAGCCAGCUGUGCCUCCUGCAGCAAUUGAGGGCUGCAGAUUUGGAAAGGAAAUGCAGGAGGAUGUGGAACACUUCUGAAACUCUUACUCGGUGCUUCCUCUGGAGCCUGGCUGAGAGAGGAGCUCAUCAGGAAUUUGGGUUUGGGAUACAGGUGCUGCUGAGACCUUGGAGGUGGAUUUCUCUGGGUUAAUGCAGAGCUCGAAGGCAAAGGAAGGAGCUGAACCCACCACUCCCAAAUUCUCCUGAGCUUGGGAACUUCCCUGAGCAGAGUCCAGGCUCCAUUUGCUCCAUUAGGUCUUGUCUAGAAGGAAGGCUGACAGCUAAUUAACAGAGCUCUGUAAUUGCACUGUGGAUUCCCAGCCUCAGGCACAAUGUCCAGCUGGGAUCAUCCUCCCUCUGCUUCCUCUUUGCCUUUUUUCCUCUUUCCCCAAAUGUUGCCACUUUCCACAGCCCUGGUGGUUUAAGUUCUGCCCCAUGAGGGUGCUCCAGUGGAGAAGCUGCUGCACUGAAGAGUUUGUACAAGAGAAAUGACAUUUGUUAUUCCUGUCGCAGUCCUUGAGAGGGAUUCCUGCACUCCUGGAAUUGUGACAGGUGCCCUUUUCCCUCUCCAUCUCCCUUUUCUUUGCUUCCUACAAAAAGGCUUUGCGAGGAUGCUGGAGCUCCUCCGCUUUGUUUUCUAUCCUUUGUGGGACUUUCUUUCCAUUUAUAUUUUAAACUCUCAAAUCUCAUGAGAUAAGGAACAUUCUCCUGAUUUUUAGUGCCUACAUCACAUAUUUUGUCAUCUUAAAGAAAAUCUCUUUGCUUUGAAGGUUCCUUUUUUUUCCUCUUCUUUCACCAACACAAUUUUAUUCCGUUUCCUCUGAAAUAAACAAUAACAAAAAGAAAAAUAAUAUUUGUGUGUUUAGGCUGUGGGGAAAACCAACGUGAUCAAUUUGACCAUGAUCCAGGGAGGCCUUUGAUGUUGUGUCCUUGUACAGGUGUGUGUUUUGUUCAUGGAGAAAACUGAUUUUAUCCUUUAUUUUACCCUGAGAUUUGCAAGUCCUUUAGUCAAAUAAAACACUGAAUAUUUCCUGCCUGAACAUUUCAGCUGUAGAAGGGUUGUGCCAGGAGAGAAACGAGCUGGCUGUGAAGUGGGAGGGGAUGCAGCACAUCCUUCAUGGCAGCAGGCAGAGCUCAGGAAUUUCAGUGGGGUACAAAGCUUUGGGGCCAGUGCUUCCACCUGCUCCUGGAAUAAAUAGAUUAUAUUUAUAUAAAUAAAUACGGGGUGGGAAAGGCAAUCCUCAUCUCCUACAUUUGAUAGGCAGUGAAUGAAUCAUUUACGGAGCAGGAGGUUCUUUGUAAUUUUUAUUUUCCCCCAUGUAAACUGUGGUUAAGAUUUUUCUUCUCGUAUGAAAGAAGUGGGAUUUUCCUUUGUGGUACUUGGGUGUUGAUCCAAUCAAGAAGCAAUUGAUGGUGAAAUAUGGAAGAAGUGGGAUUUUCCUUUAUGUUACUUGGAUGUUAAUCCAUUUUAAAAAACAAUAGAUGGUGAAAGAAGGCAAGAAUUAUUUGUGUUUGGGCAGCAGCUGACAACUCCAGGUUUAAUCACUGCAUGGAAACAACAAAGGAGUAAUUUUUUUUUUUUUUUUUUUUUUUUUUUUUUUUUUUUUGCCUGGGAGAACAGGACACAGCAAAGAGGAAAUGAGACCUGAGGUGUGAUUUCCUUGGAGGAGGUGGCCAGGGAGUGGGGCAGCCCAGGAUUUGGGAAUGCUUUGGCAAUAAUGCUGGUUUUGGGUGCCCCAGCUCUCAGCCCAGGGGUGGAACAGCUCAGCCCAAGGUUAUCCCAAGGUUAGACCAAGGUUAGGCACUGGGCCAAAGAAGGACCUGUUUGGCACUGAGUGCAAGGUGUCCAUUUUUCCAUUCCAAACCCUAUUUUUCCAUGUUUUUUUCAACGCACUUGAGGGUGUCUUUGAUGAGGACACUUGAGUUGUGUGGCUUUGCUCCUUUUCAGUCAGUCCUCAUUAAAAAUCAGCUUCUCCUCCCAUGGGAUGGCCUCAGAAAGCCCUGCUGAUUCCUCACUGCUCCCAUCCUUCAUUGCCACAGCCUUUUGGAUUAUCUUUGGGCCAUGAUGGAUGCUCUAAAAGGAACCAACAAGGCCAUCAAAUUCCUGCCCUGGUUCAACCAGCAUUUGUUAAUGUUCUAAAUCAUCUUGGGCCUGAAAUGUGCUGCUUCUUAAAUUUAGAAGGAUGUGAUUGCCUAAAGCCUCUCCAUGUGUUAAUUAAAUCAUCAUAAUUGUGGUUUCUGGAGACUGACAGGUUAUAAAUAGUUUUCCUUCUCCCCCUCCUUCAAUAAUUGGUGGGAAUGACGGGCAAGCCAGGCAUUGUUUAAGUGUGCCUCUGACACUGCUCUUCCCAUUCCAACCCCAUUUCUCUGCUGGGACUUGAUUGUCCUGAAAUAAUCAGCAGUGUCAUCCUCAAAGGCUGCUUAAUUGCCAGGCACUUCUCACAUUACAGGACAAGGAGAGAAGUGCUUUUCAUCAUUAUCCCUUUAAUUUAAGGAUGGGAGAUCAGGAGCUCCAGAGGUCAGGGAAGAGGUUCGUGUACACACGAUGCUCUGAAUAAACACU